GGCUAGGUCUUGUAUUUAUAGACGUUGGUGGUUGAGUUGUAGAAGGAUUCAACAAUUUAGAGUCCUUAUCCUCAUCAGAUAGAGUAAUUAAGUUAUAAGAGGACUAAAACACGUAAAAAGGCUCGAGACGAGGACAAUAUUUUGGCAUAUGGGCCUGACCUUAGCGGGGCCAAAUUAUUAGGCCCGACUUCUAAGGGCCCGAUCACUUUUUAGAGGAUAUUUGAAGACGAGAGUGGUCGAGGUAUUGACCUCGGGCCAUGCUUGAAAGUUCGGGGUCGAGCUAUAAUUUUUGUACACAUCAUAGGCCCCCGUGCAUCCAUGUCAGGGGCUCAUGCGCAAUGUGGGAGUUUCUGGCAUGAGAUGCAUAAGUAUAUUAAGUUCUAGAAUAGGCAUGGUUAUGUCGAGUCGAUAGGCCCUCGAGCACAUAGGUCUAGGAUAGCAAGUAUUGACUAUCUAAAAUUUGAAAGGAAUGAGCUCGAUUUUAAGGCUUAUUAGAAAUCUUGAAAGAAAGGACUUGAUCCUGCCCUUGUUGAAAUUUUUGAGAGAACUGAGCUCGACUUCGACCUUGUAAAAGAAUUUGGCAUAAAUGGGCUCAACCUCGAGCUUUAUUAGUACUUGAAGUGAAAGAGCUUGACCUCUACCUUGUUUAGAAGUUGAAAAGAACGAGCUCGACCUCGAGCUUCGUUAAAAGUUUUGGAAGUAACGAGUUUGACGAAUAGACAAAGUUUCAUAUAGGAGGCUAAGUGGAAGCUCAAUCCUAUUCUGAAUAUAUUUAUCUCAAGCUUGUUGGCUGGAGUUUGACAAUAAUUUGAGCUCUAGAACAUAGCCCGAGUCCAAUGUGAAAUAAUAUCCCGAGC
rnacentral:lncRNA from 1 species